CCAAACAAACAAACAAAAAAAGAUUGGAUUUUGUUAUGGUAAAGUGAAAGACCACCGGGCUGAUUUAUUGACUGAUUGGCAUCAAAAAAGAAAGAAGCAGCAUGGAAACCUUUUGCCUUCCAAAGAUUCCGAGGAGACAUGACUCAGAUGUCUUGUUGGGAGUGAUGAAAGGGCCUUCCACAGCCACGCCUCAUCUCCACACCGUCGAAGGCUGUCAUUUGGUGCCCCUUAUUAGAGACUCCUUAGGAGGGCGUCUCCAGAGUCCCUUCUAACUCUGUGCUUCUGUGUUUCGUUUAAAAGAGCUUGUCUCCUUGGCAGGAAGCAUGGCCUACGGGAGCUAGCCCUUGAGUGGCCCUAAGAGGACCUGGCUUCCAUUCCUGUUCUGCAGCUUCCUCACUGCCUGUGUGGCCUUGGGUAAGUCAUUUAGCCCUUCUGAGGCUCAGUUUCCUUAGCAGUACAAUGAGGGGGUGGGCCGUGAUGGGCCUUCAGGCCCGUUCCAGCUCUCGACGGGUGAUUCUUUUCUGCUUUCUCUCUUUUUUCCCAGUGAUAAUAGUAUGUCUACAAAGUAGAAAUGUCUAAUUUAAGCGUGGCGAUUCAGACGAAAACCCUGGAAGUCUUCUGUUUGCGAGGACCUCAGUGUCGGCCCUUGUUGGGCUGGGGAACCAACCUGUCAAAUGGAGUGACUGCCGCAGCAGGAGAGAACCGAGCUUUUUCACCUAUUUUAUUUCUGUGGUAUAGCCAGCAGCUUUAAAAUCCGAGGACUUGAGUUCAAAUCCUGGCUCCAAAACCCUCUUUCUGGUAAUCGAAGCCAAGGGCAACCCUCAGGAUCCUUGAGAAAGGUAAAGAAACAUCCUUUUGUAAGCUAACAAAAACCAUUGCCUUCCCCACAAAGCACUAACAGUGUCUGAGUGAACUAGGCGGAGUACGUGUUAGCGCUUCUUUUUCUUCUGCUGUGGCUUGGUCCUGGAAGCUGAUUGGAGGUUCUAAAUCCUCUCCAGCCUGUCUUCUCUUCAUCGGUCAGAAAGCUGUCUGAACAGCUUGGAGCUUCUCAGACUCAGGGGAAGUGGCUUCCCUGCUGUCUGCAUAGGACGCCCGUUCUAAUGGUUCAUACCUAGGGCUCUGAGCUCAGGCUGGCCCAGGCUUUUGGAGCCCAGCAGGAGGCUACAUUGGGCUCACUCUUUGCACAUCUGCCUUUCUGCCCACCCAUCACAUCCAGCCCUGGAGUGCUCCCAUGUUGGGGAUU
rnacentral:lncRNA from 1 species